rnacentral:rRNA from 1 species
UGGGGAAUUUUCCGCAAUGGGCGAAAGCCUGACGGAGCAAUACCGCGUGAGGGAGGAAGGCUUUUGGGUUGUAAACCUCUUUUCUUAGGGAAGAAGUUCUGACGGUACCUAAGGAAUCAGCAUCGGCUAACUCCGUGCCAGCAGCCGCGGUAAUACGGAGGAUGCAAGCGUUAUCCGGAAUUAUUGGGCGUAAGGCGCGCGUAGGCGGCUUAGUAAGUCGGAUGUGAAAGCCCCGGGCUUAACCUGGGAAUUGCAUUCGAUACUGCUGAGCUAGAGUAUGGUAGAGGGAAGUGGAAUUUCCGGUGUAGCGGUGAAAUGCGUAGAUAUCGGAAGGAACACCAGUGGCGAAGGCGACUUCCUGGGCCAAUACUGACGCUGAGGUGCGAAAGCGUGGGGAGCAAACAGGAUUAGAUACCCGUGUAGUCC